rnacentral:rRNA from 1 species
AAUCUUCCACAAUGGGCGAAAGCCUGCUGGAGCAACGCCGCGUGAGUGAAGAAGGUUUUCGGAUCGUAAAACUCUGUUGUAAGGGAAGAACAAGUACAGUAGUAACUGGCUGUACCUUGACGGUACCUACUUAGAAAGCCACGGCUAACUACGUGCCAGCAGCCGCGGUAAUACGUAGGUGGCAAGCGUUGUCCGGAAUUAUUGGGCGUAAAGCGCGAGCAGGCGGUACUUUAAGGUUGAUGUGAAAGGCCAAGGCUCAACCGUGGAGGGUCAUUGGAAACUGGGGGACUUGAGUGCAGAAGAAGAAAGUGGAAUUCCAAGUGUAGCGGUGAAAUGCGUAGGGAUUUGGAGGAACACCAGUGGCGAAGGCGACUUUCUGGUCUGUAACUGACGCUGAGGCGCGAAAGCGUGGGGAGCAAACAGG